rnacentral:rRNA from 1 species
AUUGAACGCUGGCGGCAUGCCUUACACAUGCAAGUCGAACGGUAACGGGCCUUCGGGUGCCGACGAGUGGCGAACGGGUGAGUAAUGCAUCGGAACGUACCUUUCAGUGGGGGAUAACGUAGCGAAAGUUACGCUAAUACCGCAUAUUCUGUGAGCAGGAAAGCAGGGGAUCGCAAGACCUUGCGCUGAUUGAGCGGCCGAUGUCAGAUUAGCUAGUUGGUGAGGUAAAGGCUCACCAAGGCGACGAUCUGUAGCGGGUCUGAGAGGAUGAUCCGCCACACUGGAACUGAGACACGGUCCAGACUCCUACGGGAGGCAGCAGUGGGGAAUUUUGGACAAUGGGGGCAACCCUGAUUCAGCCGUGCCGCGUGAGUGAAGAAGGCCUUCGGGUUGUAAAGCUCUUUCGGUCGGGAAGAAAUCGCAUGGGUUAAUACCCUGUGCGGAUGACGGUACCGGCAUAAGAAGCACCGGCUAACUACGUGCCAGCAGCCGCCGUAA